UUUGCUGUAUUUUAGCAAAAAGCAGUAUUAAACAGUCAGUAUUCUUGUCGAACCUGUCAAUCUUUUAAAAGUUACCGUGCGAUUACAUAAAUCACUACUCGUACUCAGAGAAAGCUAAUUUUAUGUCAUAAAAAUGGCACCCUACAAGCUGUCCGUCUUUUGUUGCUGUAUUGUGUAUUGGUUUAUCCACUUGCAGCUGGCUGAUUGUGCGGAAUUACCAUCAGACUGGAGAAGCAGAAUUCAUGCGUCCACGAACCAAUCUGAAGAAUCGCUAACAACGGGCGAUAUUCUCAUUUGGGGUGGUCAGAAACCGUACCCGAUGCUGCAGCAGGAGGAUUCCCAAAGUAGUCCCGCCAUUCCAAACAAGUACUGGCCGAAUAACGGACAAUGCAUACCUUACUCUCUUCACCCGUCGCUUGAUUAUCAACUUAAUAUUGCAAACUACGGGGCUAAAAGUUAUCAACGAUACUGUCAAAAUCCGCUACGCAGCUUACGUUUUCUAGUUCGUUUGUUAAUCGCAUCUUCGAUGGCAGACACGCGUACUGGUGGCGGCGAGUUCUCAAACAUCCGUCCCAGACAGUCGCCAACCAACGCGCCAAGCAGGCAUCCCCGGUAUUUGGAUAGCAGUCUAUUUGGACAAUGUUUCGCGGCGAUCAUAUUUCUGGCGGCUGCUGCAGUGGUCCCUGUCGUCAAUAUCUGACUAAGUGAAGCACCCAUUUUCUAAUAUACGGUGUUAACUUUGCAUCUCAUAACCAAAUAAGUACUGCAACAAUAUCCAGCAGCCGUACGGUACGGUAAGGUACCAGUAAAAGUGACUGAAACGUGAUAUCGUAUCGUACCUACCCGAGCAUACGUUGUACAAGUAUAAGCACAGAACAAGCAUGCUUGAACUGUCUGUUGCGGUGUUACCUGAGGCAAAAUUUGGAACGCGCUUUGGGCUUUGAAACGCUAGGACCAAACGGACCGGAAGCUUCCCGUCUGCUGACGGAAGUGGGUAGAAGGGUACGGCAUGAAACUGGCGAGGCAAGAGCACCGGAAUACCUGCGCCAGCGUAUCAGCAUAGAAAUCCAGCGCGGGAACGCGGCCUCCGUCCAGGGAACAGCUCCACCGGGAGCAAAUUUAGAUCAGUUGUUCUCUGUUCUUAGACCUCCCGAGGCUGUUUUCUGCUGAUUGAGUGUAUUGCGUUGUGAUGUUAACUGUUGUGUAUAAGCUAAAUGUACAAGGAUUACAAUUUGGAAUAGAUUCGCAUUAUUUUUUUGCGGU